rnacentral:lncRNA from 1 species
AAUCACCUACUCCUCCACCCUCAGAACAUCCGCAGACCAAGUAUUACACCACAGAAAAACCUCUGAAAACUGUUGCGCAAUCAAGCACAAAAAAUAUGAUCAAAAGCACAACAAGCAAAAAAACCAGUAAGCGAGACAAUACUGUGCAAGCAUAAUGAUCACUGAUUAUGCUGUUCAUCAUAAAAAUAUCACAUUUGAUUUUGCACAAAUGAGCAAUGUGCAAAUUCUGUUUUAACCUCUCACUUUAAUCAUACUGAGUCAUUCUAACACAGGAAGUAUGUAUGUGCUCUAGCACUCUCUUAAAACUGUCAUCGUCUGCCAGAAUAAAUUAUUUGUAUUAACCACCUAAAGCUAAAUUUAAUAAAGUAAAAAAAAAAAAAAACGUAAAAAACACUACAGUAUACAGUAUAUUAGAUCAUAAAUUUGCUAUUCACCAAAUAAUUUACUUAUUUUCUUUGUGCAAUGCAUUUAUAUCUAUGCAUAAUUAAUAAUUUUUACAGCAACUCAAGGACAAAACAAUGGCAAAAACAAUCUAGCAAGUGAGUAGCUAUUUUUCUUUAUUGUCAAUGUCUAUUCAUAUUUUUAUUUAAGUGUCCUUGUUUAUUUUGAAUAGACAGAUAAAAAUAUAUACGUUCUUAAUUGACCUAAUUUUUUUUUUUUUUUUUUUUUUUUUUUACUUUCUCUAGUAGUCUUACUACAUUGUGCCUCUCUGGGAUAGUAGUUUACUGUUGCCUUCAAAAGAACUCCAGGGUAAGAUAUUUAAAGUCAAUUAUUACUAACUGGAGAAUAUUUGGAAAACCAGUAAUAGAAUGAAUAGCCUUGAUAUAUGGCUCCCUGUACAUUUGUUAUUUUAUAAUCAUAACAUUGGAUAUAUAAACUACAUACUGAUCGUGUUUAAUGCAGAAGUACUCUGUGGACUUACAUCCCAAACAAGAUGCUCAGAUCCCACUCAGCACAAUGGAUAUAGAGGUGUUUGACACCACAUCAGUCAAAGAUAUACAAACAUUCACUCCUGUCGAGUCCACCGAGCCACUUAAAGACCCUGCGCCCGUGAAGGAAGCUGAAAAACCUGAGGGAGGGAAAGAAUCAGCUGAUGUUAAACAAGAAAUCCAACAGAAUUUAUCCAGCACUCAGGCCACAGUGAACACAAAGGAUCAAACGGAUGGGCUGGCCGCAGUGGAUCUGACUGAUGGAGAACUGACGAUCUCCACCAAAACCUCAAUGGAAUCCCUAGAUGAUGUUCUCAACGAAAACAACUGCAACAAUACAGGAGCUGAAGUCAACGGCAAUGGGCAUGAAUUCACUAAAAUCUCUAUUGAUAUUUAACUUCUAAAAUAAAUCAGCCUCUUCCCAACAUUUAUCAUUGAUCUCUGAACCAGACUGAUGGAAACUGGAAGCAAAAGCUGAACUAAGUUGUAAACUAUGCAAGUCAUUGUUAGAACAAUGCUGUUUGCAUAUAUAUACAGUACUAAGAAAAGUCUAACAGGGCUCAAUGUACUGUAUUGAUGUCUUUCUUCAUAUAUUUUUUUCUUGGGUUUUACUCACUGAAUUUCUUUGUGUUGUUUAAGGGUUAAAUGAAAUAUACUGUGCAUAAACUUAACGGAGAAACUUAAUGGAGUUAGUACUUUUAUAUUUAGAAUAAUAUUACCUAUUAUGUUUGAUUUUAAUAUUGUAACUAUUUUCAACCUAAUUUAUGAAAAUCUAAUCUAAUCUUAAAUGGAUAAUUUUGUAAAUUUUCAACCAGCUUUGUAUUGUUGUCGACUGUAUAUGUAAAUGAACAAUGUGUACUCUUUCUCCGUGUUACUGGACCCAGAUAUCCCCAUUUAUUUUCCAAGCAAAAGGAUGCUUGGAAGUUGGAUCAACAGAGCAUAUAUAUCAAUAUAUAAAAUAUACUAAAAUCGAAAGUGUAAAGCAAAAGGAUGCUUGGAAGUUGGAUCAACAGAGCAUAUAUAUCAAUAUAAUAAAAUAUCUAAAAAUCGUAAAGUGUAUUAUGAGUGUUGACGUUUAUGACAAAAGGGAUAUUUGUACAUUGUACAUUGAAUACAUUUUUUAUUAAAUUAGAUAUGUGUAAAGUUAUCUCAUCAGAGUGCUAUAGAGCUCAGGGUUCCUCUGUUGUAUGUAUACUGUAUGUAUGUUAUAAUGCCUAUAACUGUUAACUGUAAAACUUAGACAUUCAAAUAAUACAACUUUCACCACUUUACGUUUUUUUUUUUAAUUCUAAGUUUUAUAUAUUUUUUUAUUUAUUUUAAUCUCUUUGUAGUGCUUUCACUGUUGCAAAUGUCAAUUGGACAUUAUGUUUUGGGUUAAAGUUUUAUUCAUUUGUUUUAAUAUGUGUUUUCUUAAACUGUAAUUUACACAGUCUUAAGAAGGAUAUUGGCCUAUUGUUGGGUGCAACAUGGGUUUAUAAUUAGUUGCUUCUACCUUCUGAUAUCAUACUGUCAACUAAUACAAUAAAAAUGUAUCUUGAUUAUAACUAUCAUUUAUCAUUACUUGUAGUUUACAUAAAUCUCUUUCUGGGAUAACAGUCUUGGUUUUUAAAUAAACAUGUACUUUAAGUUUAAGACUUCUAUAUCAAAUUGCAGUUUCUAAUAUUAAAAGUCAUGUUCUGGCUGCCCAUUUAACUCAACUACAGUAUAACAGUAACUGCAAAAUCAAUUUGUCAGGUGCAUGUUCUGUCUGUAAUAAAGCAAGUUUUCUGUAUGAGAACUGUACUGUAUUAGAAAUUGCUUUAAGUAACCAAGCAGAUGCCAGACUAGAUGGUUCCGUAACAAGCCUUC